rnacentral:rRNA from 1 species
AACGAACGCUGGCGGCGCGUAUUAAGCAUGCAAGUCGAACGGGAGUGAAGCCCUUCGGGGUUUCAUGAGAGUGGCGAACGGGUGAGUAACACGUAGGUGAUCUGCCCUUGGGUGGGGAAUAGCCCAUGGAAACAUGGGGUAAUACCGCAUGAGGUUUUCGGGCGUGAAGCCCGAUGAUGAAAGGAGCAAUUGUUCCGCCUGGGGAUGAGCCUGCGGUCCAUUAGCUAGUUGGUGUGGUAAAGGCGCACCAAGGCGACGAUGGAUAGCCGGCCUGAGAGGGUGAACGGUCACACUGGGACUGAGACACGGCCCAGACUCCUACGGGAGGCAGCAGCUAAGAGUCUUCCGCAAUGGGGGAAACCCUGACGGAGCGACGCCGCGUGGGCGAAGAAGGCCGCAAGGUUGUAAAGCCCUUUUCUUGACGAAGAAUAAGGUCAGGAGUGGAACGCCUGGCCGAUGACGUUAGUCAAGGAAGAAGCCCCGGCCAAUUACGUG